CGUAGGGACCAAGCGUUGUUCGGAUUUACUGGGCGUAAAGGGCGCGUAGGCGGCUUGUCAAGUCACUUGUGAAAUCUCUGGGCUUAACCCAGAACGGCCAAGUGAAACUGACAUGCUAGAGUGCAGAAGGGGCAAUCGGAAUUCUUGGUGUAGCGGUGAAAUGCGUAGAUAUCAAGAGGAACACCUGAGGUGAAGACGGGUUGCUGGGCUGACACUGACGCUGAGGCGCGAAAGCCAGGGGAGCAAACGGGAUUAGAUACCCCGGUAGUCCUGGCCCUAAACGAUGAAUACUUGGGGUCUGGAGUUAUUAGUGCUCCGGGUGCCGUCGCUAACGUUUUUAGUAUUCCGCCUGGGGAGUACGCUCGCAAGAGUG
rnacentral:rRNA from 1 species